rnacentral:rRNA from 1 species
GAUGAACGCUGGCGGCGUGCCUAAUACAUGCAAGUCGAGCGAACAGACGAGGAGCUUGCUCCUCUGACGUUAGCGGCGGACGGGUGAGUAACACGUGGAUAACCUACCUAUAAGACUGGGAUAACUUCGGGAAACCGGAGCUAAUACCGGAUAAUAUAUUGAACCGCAUGGUUCAAUAGUGAAAGACGGUUUUGCUGUCACUUAUAGAUGGAUCCGCGCCGCAUUAGCUAGUUGGUAAGGUAACGGCUUACCAAGGCAACGAUGCGUAGCCGACCUGAGAGGGUGAUCGGCCACCCUGGAACUGAGACACGGUCCAGACUCCUACGGGAGGCAGCAGUAGGGAAUCUUCCGGAAUGGGCGAAAGCCUGACGGAGCAAAGCCGGGUGAGGGAUGAAGGUCUUCGGAUCGUAAAACUCUGUUAUUAGGGAAGAACAAAUGUGUAAGUAACUAUGCACGUCUUGACGGUACCUAAUCAGAAAGCCACGGCUAACUACGUG